rnacentral:rRNA from 1 species
UACGGAAGGCAGCAGGGGGAAUAUUGCACAAUGGGCGCAAGCCUGAUGCAGCCAUGCCGCGUGUAUGAAGAAGGCCUUCGGGUUGUAAAGUACUUUCAGUCGUGAGGAAGGUGUUAAGGUUAAUAACCUUAGCAAUUGACGUUAGCGACAGAAGAAGCACCGGCUAACUCCGUGCCAGCAGCCGCGGUAAUACGGAGGGUGCGAGCGUUAAUCGGAAUUACUGGGCGUAAAGGGCACGCAGGCGGUUAAUUAAGUUGGAUGUGAAAUCCCCCGGGCUUAACCUGGGAAUGGCAUUCAAGACUGGUUAGCUAGAGUCUUGUAGAGGGGGUAGAAUUCCAUGUGUAGCGGUGAAAUGCGUAGAGAUGUGGAGGAAUACCGGUGGCGAAGGCGGCCCCUGGACAAAGACUGACGCUCAUGUGCGAAAGCGUGGGGAGCAAACAGGGAUUAGAUACC